rnacentral:lncRNA from 1 species
AUGUUAACGACUGUCAUACUGCUCUGGAAUUGGUGGGAUGCAAGAAACAAAGUGAAUGCUGGGGAGGAUAGGAGAACGCAUGAAGAGGUAUAUAGCAGAGUCAUAAGGAUGGUGUCAGAAAACUCCUUGCUCUUUCGGGACAACGCUCGGGGAAAUCCUAGCAGUCAAAGGACAUGGUGUCCGCCUCCCCAGGGUGUUCUAAAGCUGAACAUUGAUGGUGCUUUCCAGGCGGCUAAUCUAAGUGGUGGCUGGGGCUUUAUCCUUCGGGACCAUGAGGGGAAUGGGGUCCUGGCUGGAGUAGGACGAAUCGAACUGGUGCAUGAUGCGCUUAGCGCGGAAGCCGUCGCUUGUCUGCAUGCCUUGCGUGCUGUUCUAAAUCAUGGCUUUUCGUAUUUCUCUGUUGAAACAGAUAGCUCCAUCCUGGUGAGCGCACUAGACUCCGCUUGCUACGACCAGUCUACAGCGGGCAUGACUUUUAAACAAAUUAGAACUCUGCUCCGUAUGGACUUAGGUAUGAUCAAAGUGUCUUUUGCUAAUCGUUCAUGUAAUAGUUGUGCUCAUGAACUGGCCCGGAAAGGGGCUAGUUGGGACCCUAUGUCACUCCACCUCGAAGGUCAAGUUUCAUCUGACGUUGCUGCCUCCCGGCUGCUUCCCUGCGACAACCCUUUGCUUAGCCACCUUUGCUCACGACCGGUUCCCCCCGAGCACUAUAUGGCCAGGUCCAACAAGGAGAUGGCAACGGUGAGGAAGAACUUGAACGGGAACAUAGAGGCAAGGGAGGGCAUCGAUCUUAACAACGUCAAUGAUGUGGGGAUGGGUUUGGAGGAGAUUGCUAAUUGGGUUGCUUAUUGACAUGCAAGGA